rnacentral:rRNA from 1 species
GACGAACCGUGCGAACGUUGUUCGGAUUCACUGGGCUUAAAGGGCGCGUAGGCGGUCGACCAAGUCUGGGGUGAAAUCUUUCGGCUCAACCGGAAAAGUGCCCCCGAUACUGGCCGGCUAGAGGGAGAUAGGGGCAUGCGGAACUUCCGGUGGAGCGGUGAAAUGCGUAGAUAUCUGGAGGAACACCGGUGGCGAAGGCGGCGAUCUGGCCCAACACUGACACUGAGACCCGAAAGCGUGGGGAUCAAACAGG